UACGUAGGGUGCGAGCGUUGUCCGGAAUUAUUGGGCGUAAAGAGCGUGUAGGCGGCCAGGUAGGUCUGCUGUGAAAACUCGAGGCUCAACCUCGAGAUGUCGGCGGAAACCAUCUGGCUAGAGUCCGGAAGAGGAGAGUGGAAUUCCUGGUGUAGCGGUGAAAUGCGCAGAUAUCAGGAAGAACACCCGUGGCGAAGGCGGCUCUCUGGGACGGUACUGACGCUGAGACGCGAAAGCGUGGGGAGCGAACAGG
rnacentral:rRNA from 1 species